GCCUGAGCCAGCAGUGGCAACCCGCUCGGGUCCCCUUCCACACUGUGGAAGCUUUGUUCUUUAGCUCUUUGCAAUAAAUCUUGCUGCUGCUCACUCUUUGGGUCCACACUGCCUUUACGAGCUGUAACACUCACCGCGAAGGUCUGCAGCUUCACUCCUGAAGCCAGUGAGACCACGAACCCACCAGGAGGAACAAACAACUCCAGAUGUGCUGCCUUAAGAGCUGUAACACUCACCGCGAAGGUCUGCAGCUUCAGUCCUAAGCCAGCAAGACCACGAACCCACCAGAAGGAAGAAACUCUGAACACAUCCAAACAUCAGAAGGAACAAACUCUGGACAUGCCGCCUUUAAGAACUGUGACACUCACCACGAGGGUCCGUGGCUUCAUUCUUGAAGUCAGUGAGACCAAGAACCCACCAAUUCCAGACACAUUUUGGCAACCACAAAGGGACUAUCACCUAUUGCCAAGCGGUGAGACUAUCGCCAAGUGGUGAGACCAUCGUCUAUCGCUGAGCAGCAAAACAAUCGCCUAUCGCCAAGCAAAUCGAAGCCAUCAAGCUACAGAUGGUCUUACAAAUGGAACCCCAAAUGAGUUCAACUAACAACUUCUACCGAGGACCCCUGGACCGACCCGCUGGCACUUCCACUGGCCUAGAGAGUUCCCCCUUGGAGGACACUACAACUGCAGGGCCCCUUCUUCACUUCUAUCCAGCAGGAAGUAGCUAGAGCAGUCAUCGGCCAAAUUCCCAACAGCAGUUGGGGUGUCCUGUUUAGAGGGGGGAUUGAGAGGUGGCAGUGUGCUGGCAGCCCUCGCAGCCCUCGCUCACUCUUGGCUCCUCCUCGGCCUUGGCGCCCACUCUGGCCAUGCUUAAGGAGCCCUUCAGCCUGCCACUGCACUGUGGGAACACUGGCCAAGGCCAGAGCCAGCUCACUCAGCUUGUGGGGAAGUGUGGAGGGAGAGGCGCAGGCGGGAACUGGGGCUGCAUGCGGCGCUUGCGGGCCAGCGUGAGUUCCGGGUGGUUGUGGGCUUGGCGGGCCCCAGACUCGGAGCGGCUGGCCUGCCCUGCUGGCCCCAGGCAGUGAGGGGCUUAGCACCCAGGCCAGCAGCUGUGGAUGGUGCGCUGAGUCUCCCAGCAGUGCUGGCCCACCCCACCAGCACUGCACUCGAUUUCUCGCCAGGCCUUAGCUGCCUCCCCGCAGGGCAGGCCUUGGGACCUGCAGCCCACCAUGCCUGAGUCUCCCCUGCUGCCGCCGUGGGCUCCUGCGUGGCCCAAGCCUCCCCGACGAGCACUGCCCCCUGCUCCCCGGUGCCUGGUCCCAUCGACCGCCCAAGGGCUGAGGAGUGCAGGUGCAUGGUGCGGGACUGGCAGGCAGCUCCACCUGCGGCCCCAGUGCAGGAAGCCAGCUGGGCUCCUGAGUCUGGUGGGGACUUGGAGAAUUUUUAUGUCUAGCUAAGGGAUUGUAAAUACACCAAUCAGCACUCUGUAUCUAGCUCAAGGAUUGUAAAUACACCAAUCAGCACCCUGUGUCUAGCUCAGGGUUUGUCAAUGCACCAAUCGGCACUCUGUAUCUAGUUAAUCUGGUGGGGAGUUGGAGAAUCUUUAUGUCUAGCUAAGGGAUUGUAAAUACACCAAUCAGCACUCUGUAUCUAGCUCAAG
rnacentral:lncRNA from 1 species